ensembl:lncRNA
GUCACAGACUUCAUUUCAGUCCGGUGAUCGAAAGCCCUCCUCAACUGCCAUGCCAACCCACAUUUUCACAGCCACCAAAUAUUAUCCCCACCGCGGCGCAUCGGUGCAGCGACGCGGCCAUGCUGUGCGAGAGCACCGCUCCGCGCGCGCCCCGCGGACUGCACGCAUUGAUGACUUUGAAGAAUCAGCAUCAAAUCAGAUUGGAAUUCACCGGGAUCUCAAACUGGACCUGUUGCUAGAUGAGUCAUGUCGUUGGCCCGGUGACAAUGAGGAGCCAUCGAAUGGGACAAUAUAUCAAAUGCAAAUGUCAAUGUUUUUUGUUGUCCUUCAUAUGUAUUUUUUCCCUUAGAAGCAAAUCAUGAACGGCUUAUUUUGAACCUGUGCCUAUUUUAUUCCAAAUGAAGUCUCAAACCUUCUCCUGCGGGAGAAAAGAAGUAUACUGUAUAAUUAACAUGUGUGUAAUAGGACUUAAAGGUCAUUGCAGAGCUGAGAAGUCAUAUUCUCCCCCCCCACACACACACACACACAUCUUGUUCAGAGCAGCUCUCUCCUCAGAAAGCUGGGGGUCACAGUGUGGAAAAGCCCCCAGUGAACUGGUAGAAAUGCUGUCCCCAUUACAGCAGCAGCAGGGGUCAGGCCAUGGCAGCAAGCAUCCAACCUGCCCAAAAUUGGCUGCAAAAUGACCAAUUACCUGAGCGAAGGCUGAGAUAGGACUUGGAAAAAUAUGGCUUUUACUUAAUUCAGCAACUGUAAAAGAAGUCACAUUGACGCUUGCUACGUGUCACAGUAUCCCCAGCUGUCAAGUACACGGGCAUAUUGUAAACUGAUCAGAAAAUCUGUUUCAAGGAUAAUCAAAAUUCAAUCAACUUUCUAAUGUGAGAGCUGGAUGGCAGGACUAUAAUCCAUAGCUGUAAACUGGGAUAUUCAUUUUCACCAACACUAAAUCAACGAUUGAUUAAACAUCUUUACGUGUAGGUGUUAUUUAAUUAAUUUCCCAGCAAAUGGAAAACAUGCAAAUUCGCCAAUUAAGUCAUUUGCCCAUGGAGGGCUGGACUGCUUGACGUUCAGCUGCCACUGCGCCUUUAGUCUGAAACCCCUUUUUAGUUUUUUGUUAAGAGUUAAGUCUCCAACAAAGACGGGAAGGAGGUCAGCACUCAGCCAACACCUGAAUGCGCCUCUCUUUUUUUGUGCUCCCCUUGAUCCCCACAGUCUGUGCCUGUCAUUAGUCUUAAUGAUGGAAAAUUGUCAUGUUGAUACAAGUCCUGCUCUCCCCCUCUCUUCUUUGUAUAAGUAGAAGGUGGAAGCUCCAUCCGUAACAAAACCGUGGACACUGCAUUUGUGCCGCGGGGGGAGAAAAAAAAGGGCUGUAGAUGCUCUUUCCAUAGCUGGGAUAAUUAUUCCUACUGUGACCUUAAUGAUUCUCUCUGUUCAUCCUGCAUCUCAUCCACGCGCCGGGCCCUCAGCAGAGCCCUGUGUCAGGGAAUAUGAAAAACCCAUAUAAUGAAACCAUUUUGGCUGAUGGAAAAAAGGGUUACUGAAGCUGCACUUGCCACAAAGACGGCUCAAUUAUAUGAGUAAUUGUGAUAAUUUUCCCUCCAUUCAGUGCUUUCUGUGAAAGGUAAAAAACACAGAUGCUGAAAGGGAAAUUACUUGGACAAUAUAUAAUCUGUGAAAUGGUCACAACAGAAAAAAAAGAUGACUGCAAGAAAGUGUAGGACUAUAAAUAGGUAUGUUAAUGCAGGGCACAUAAACACACCCUCUGAUGCUCAAAGCCCCUGUGCAAGAGUAGAAAAAAAAACAUGCAACAAAUGACCAUUGAAAAAAGGCGGAUAAAAGUAGAUAUGCAGCUGCCAGAAAAUUAAACCUCCUUCUCCUUCCAAUUGACAAAUUUACGCUCCUGAAAAUGCACCCCCAUAGUUGGCUAUCAUUUGUUGUUCUCUGACAGGAAAAGGAUAAUUACCUCUCUCAGAGGCAGGAGGACUGACAUGCCCUUUAGACUUUGCCAUGAAUGCAGAAGCUUGAUGGAAAGCUCAAGGAAUAAUUUUCUUCUUUGCCUUUUUCUUUAUGUUGAAGAGCAUGUUUUGUUCAGGAGAACUUUGAGAUGGCAGUAUUGUGGAGAGCAUUAAACCAUGGGUGUUCAUACGGUAAAUAUGACAUCUCUCUGUGCGCCGUGUCUAUCAGCUUCUCCAUUUGGGGAGAAAAAAAACCUCUCAAAUGCAUUAAAAUUUCAAUUUCAACUCGCCAGGAGACAGUCGAAAUG